rnacentral:rRNA from 1 species
GCUGCAGCGCUUCGGCGCACCCAGAACCCUUUGUGAACUUAUACCUAUUGUUGCCUCGGCGCAGGCCGGCCUCUUCACUGAGGCCCCCUGGAAACAGGGAGCAGCCCGCCGGCGGCCAACCAAACUCUUGUUUCUAUAGUGAAUCUCUGAGUAAAAAAACAUAAAUGAAUCAAAACUUUCAACAACGGAUCUCUUGGUUCUGGCAUCGAUGAAGAACGCAGCGAAAUGCGAUAAGUAAUGUGAAUUGCAGAAUUCAGUGAAUCAUCGAAUCUUUGAACGCACAUUGCGCCCUCUGGUAUUCCGGAGGGCAUGCCUGUUCGAGCGUCAUUUCAACCCUCAAGCCUGGCUUGGUGAUGGGGCACUGCCUGUAAUAGGGCAGGCCCUGAAAUCUAGUGGCGAGCUCGCCAGGACCCCGAGCGUAGUAGUUAUAUCUCGCUCUGGAAGGCCCUGGCGGUGCCCUGCCGUUAAACCCCCAACUUCUGAAAAUUUGACCUCGGAUCAGGUAGGAAUACCCGCUGAACUUAAGCAUAUCAAUAAGCCGGAGGAA